rnacentral:misc_RNA from 1 species
CAAAUUCAAAAAAAAAAUUCCGUUAGAUUCUUAGUAAAAGGAGAGAAAUGUUUCUAACCCCAAUUAUACCCUCCAUCUUUUUCUAAUACAAGAACCCCUAAAAUACACAAAACUAUCGUUCUUUCCCUCUCCACCUUGCACCCAUCCCUUCUUAUCCCUCCCACAUUUCUUCCUCAAAGCUCAAAACUUUACUCACCGAAGUCAUGUCAGCCACUAGCGGAACAAUGGGAAGCUAGGAUGGUACAUAUUUGAACGUGAUGAAGCUCGGCAACUUCUAUUGGACAAGGUCAAAGCACUAAAAGAUGGAAUCUAGGAAUUGCAAGGGUGCUUGAUGAGACAAAAGAUGAGGUAAUGAAACUUAAAUAGGAGAACAAACUGUUGCAUACAAAGCUGGAAAAAAUUGAGUUUUUCUUGGGGAAUUUGAAGACCAUAACGAUGCUUCUCAUUUUGGUGUUGGUGGGUUUUGGUAUCAAAGGAUGAGUUUGGAAAUGAAGAUUGUAUUUGUUUGUAGCAAUGGUUUUUGGAGUUUUGAGUUCAGGGAUUUUAGGUUAACAGGCUAAGAAUUUGUGAAUUUGUGUUAUAAGGGCAUAAUAGUCUUUUCCCAUUGCACUAACCCAAAAAAAAAUAAGGAUCUAUAUCUUAAUGGAGGUAAAAGAUAGAGACAUUUUAAUGAGUUUUUAAAAUUAUAGGAUUGAUUUGCAAAGAAUGGUAAUAUAUAGGGACUAAAUUAUAAACAUCCCUUAAAAUGUUAGUGGGUGUUAUGGUGUUGGCUCAAAAUUUGCUCCACAUUUCUGAAGUUGUAAUUAGAAGAGGGCAAGAACUGUCCAUAAAAAAUUUGAAACAACUUUUCAUUCUUGUCUCUAUCAGCUGUUGGUUGAGCUCACAUCAUGAUUACUUGCAAUUACAAAACCCAGCAAUGAGAGAUUGCGAAGACCUUUAUAGAUAUACCAAACCAACAAAGCUUCUGCAUAGCUUGAGUGUUGCCAUCUCCGAAUCUUCAAGAAGAGUUCAAAUUCGGAAAGAAAGAAAAGAGCUGCACCGAUCAAAAACAUGAAGAGUCGUUCUUCUUUGCGAGGGCUUCCUUGAUGAACUGUCAUUUGCCUUCAACAAGAUGCAUGGAUUCUCCACUGCCGAUGGCUUUGUGGAGAUAACUGAGUGCUUGGCGGAGAUGAUUAAGUACGUGGCAAAUGAACCCUCAGCAGGGCUUUUCUAUGUCCAGCAGCACACACAAAAUGCUGUUCCCAAUUUAAUUAAUCUCAAGAAUAAUAUUAAAGAGAAGUCACAUGAAACACUUUUGCACACUGAAGACUUGGAAGAUUCUAUCACCGUGGUGAGGUCAAUGAAAGAUUGUGGUUUCCCCAUUGCUGAUGAGAUGGUUAGAGACAUCAAGACAUCUCUUGCUCUGAUGUCAUCAAAACAACCAAGAAGAGGAUUAAUCCAUGGCCCAACUUCAAAUUUUCAAAUAGGAACAACUAGCUCAUGGGGACCGUCCACUUGGGAUCAUAAUGAAGUUCAGCAGGAAAGCAGAACAGUUAAUUAUUUUUCUACUGUAUUUAGGACUGCUAAAAAAAGGGCCAGCAAUUUCAAGUGGCCACAGCUUGAUCCGAAAGAUUCAACGCCAAGUCCAGCUGAGAAGCUACUGUCUUAUGAUAAUCCAUCGGAGUUGAUUGCAUCUGCUAGCACUAGUUCAUCUUUUCCUGAUAUGGAAUCUGAUGAAAUCUCCUUGUCAAGACAGACUGCUGAUGAGCUAGAACCAGAAGAUGAACAAGCCGAGAUGAACAAUCCACCGGGCAAUGUAUUGUCCCUACCAGAAAACUAUGAUGACUUCAAGGCUGAUAAAGAAGCAAAACUAGAGGAGUGGUUGGGGUGGACCAAUGACAGCCUAAAUAAAUUGCAUGAGGGCAAGUAAAGAGGAGGCGAGAGUGUGUUCUUAGGCUGUUUCUUUUUCAAUUUUUCUUUCUUGUAGCAAUAGUUUAGAUGCUGAGGAAUCUUUUACUUGUACAAUCUGUUGUUUAUAAUACACUGGUCCCUGGAUGAUGAUUAUAUGUAUUUGAAUCAUCACAAUAAAAUUUUCUGAGGAGAAGCUUUUGUUUGGUUCUACAGAGCUUCGACAUCUCUAUUUUCUCAUAUGUUUGGAACCAAAUGAACACGGAAUUCAUUCCUUAAAAGGAUUUUUU